rnacentral:rRNA from 1 species
GGCCAGACUCCUACGGGAGGCAGCAGUCGGGAAUAUUGCGCAAUGGAGGAAACUCUGACGCAGUGACGCCGCGUAUAGGAAGAAGGUUUUCGGAUUGUAAACUAUUGUCGUUAGGGAAGAGAAAGGACAGUACCUAAGGAGGAAGCUCCGGCUAACUACGUGCCAGCAGCCGCGGUAAUACGUAGGGAGCGAGCGUUAUCCGGAAUUAUUGGGUGUAAAGGGUGCGUAGACGGGAAAGCAAGUUAGUUGUGAAAUCCCUCGGCUUAACUGAGGAACUGCAACUAAAACUACUUUUCUUGAGUGCAGGAGAGGUAAGUGGAAUUCCUAGUGUAGCGGUGAAAUGCGUAGAUAUUAGGAGGAACACCAGUGGCGAAGGCGGCUUACUGGACUGUAACUGACGUUGAGGCUCGAAAGCGUGGGGAGCAAACAGGAUUAGAUACCCGCGUAAU